rnacentral:rRNA from 1 species
GGACGAAAGUCUGACCGAGCAACGCCGCGUGAGUGAAGAAGGUUUUCGGCAUCGUAAAACUCUGUUGUUAGAGAAGAACAAGGAUGAGAGUAACUGUUCAUCCCUUGACGGUAUCUAACCAGAAAGCCACGGCUAACUACGUGCCAGCAGCCGCGGUAAUACGUAGGUGGCAAGCGUUGUCCGGAUUUAUUGGGCGUAAAGCGAGCGCAGGCGGUUUCUUAAGUCUGAUGUGAAAGCCCCCGGCUCAACCGGGGAGGGUCAUUGGAAACUGGGAGACUUGAGUGCAGAAGAGGAGAGUGGAAUUCCAUGUGUAGCGGUGAAAUGCGUAGAUAUAUGGAGGAACACC